UACAGAGGGUGCAAGCGUUGUUCGGAAUUACUGGGCGUAAAGCGUGCGUAGGUUGUACUGAGAGUCGCGGGUGAAAUCCCAGGGCUUAACCCUGGAACUGCCUGCGAGACCUCAGUACUGGAGUAUGAGAGAGGAUAGUGGAAUUCCUGGUGUAGCGGUGAAAUGCGUAGAGAUCAGGAGGAACACCUGUGGCGAAGGCGGCUAUCUGGCUCAUAACUGACACUGAGGCAUGAAAGCGUGGGGAGCAAACAGG
rnacentral:rRNA from 1 species